rnacentral:precursor_RNA from 1 species
AAAAGAUCUGCAGAUGGUAACGUGCAUUCAAGUAUAUUUUUUCCAGAAUUGCAGGCCCUUGAAUUCUCUCACCGACCUUCCCUUCAGGAAUGGCAUCUAUACUACUAGCUAUAAAGAGAGAGAGCCCAUCAAUCAUCAGCACGUCUGUGUCCCUCUCGUAGCCUCGCUCUCCCUUUCUCAGCGGCGCUUCUCCUCUCUUCCUCAAGCUGUGGCCGCAAGCUCUCUCAUCAGCCAUGGCCGCCGGGCGUCGGCGCCGGCGGACCUCCCUCGCCCGCGGCCUAACAUUAGGCUCGGGGACUAUGGUGCAGCCAAGGAUGACUUGCCGAUCGAUGUGACGCCUCUUGAUCUCGUCGUCGUCAGAUCGUCGCCGAUCAUCGGCAAGUUGUUCUUGGCUACACCGUGGCUCCUGCUCCUGAUGUAAGGCUCCGUCUACGGCGACACUUGGCCGUCAGAUGAUCGACGACAAGCAAGGCCAAUCAAGGUAUUUAUAUAUACACACACAUAUAGUUCUACAACAUCGUCUGUUCUAAUAAUCAUCAUAUAUGCCAACGCUUUCACUCGCGCGCUGCUCUGAAAUGCGCUAAUAAUAAAGGUGCUGGUACUAUUCCGAUCAAA